rnacentral:rRNA from 1 species
AUGCACUUUCUUUCCCGUCUUCCACUCUUCUUCCUCCUCUCUUUCACAUUGUCGGCCGCACACCAUUUACCCCCACUCACUGCUCGCCCGUUCGUGCCAUCUUCCUUGGUAGCUCGCGCGUACCAUAUCCCCCCGCUCACUGCUCGGCCACACGAGGAGAAGCUUCUUCGCUCGCCCGCCCGAAUCCACUUUCCCACUGGCUCGCAGGCACCGAAAACCCCAAUGGCAGAACCGACUGACACGCAGAGCCGCGAUUGGAAUUCCCUCCCCGAUGUUCUCUUGGAGCAGAUCUGUAAUCAUAUGGACCUACUCAGCACCGUCCGUGUGACCGCAUGCUUGGUGUCUUUGUACCGUCUCCUUGUCUACAACCGGUUGUCUCUUUUCGAGACACCCUGCUUGCUGAUGUCCGAUCCUCGCAGGUGUCCCAGACACCGACUUGACGAUCCUACGCAGGCUGCCGUGGUGCCCCUCGGCAUGCUACCACUACCCGUCCACCUGUCCUUCAGGCGCGGCCACUACUGGGCGGGCAUGAAGGCCAACUGGAUCGUCCUCAUCCACCAAUCCGGUAGUCUGUGGCGUCUCGUGGAUAUCUACACCCAGCGAGAGAUCACCCUUCCAUCGUUGGAUACCGCCGCCAUCGAGCCUCGUGGCCCGCCAGACACUCCUGCCUACUACGCACGAGACACGUCAAGCUUUUGGAUCGACCUCUGUUUGCUGAAAGUUGUAAUCUGCGAAGUGCCCACACCAUCAUAA